GCUUUAUACAAUAUAUUAGACUUGCUAAUUUAGAGUAUAAGGUUGGGUAGUAUUAUGUACAUUUUGGAUUAAAAAAACUCAUAUGAAGUAUAUAUAUAUAUAUAUAUAUAUAUAUGUAUAUAUUAUUUUAAUAAAAAAGAGUGACAACAUUUUUAGAAUGAGUUCGAGUAUAUAAAGGUAGUUUUUGGAAAUUGCGAGUAGUUCUUGAUUUCUUAAGAUAUAUUAGAUAUUUUUUUUUUGAAAAUUUUAGGUCGUUGUAUUUUGCCAUGGUUGGUCCGUAAUGAGACCAACUUCGAUACUCUCAAGUAAGAUGAUCGUGACACACUUGGACCCUGACGAAUAUAUGAUGUAACUCUACGAGAUUCAUUGUGAGCUUUACGGGGGACACCCUCACCUACUGAUAUAAGUAAUUAAUUAAAUUUGUUUCUUUUUCAAUCUAAUAAAUUAUUUAAAUAAUAAAUUGUAUGAGUAUGUUAAUGCAAGGAUAUAUCAAAUACCCUUGUUAACUGGUGUUCAUGAUAUCAUGAAUGAGCUUGGUGCAUCAAUUGCCCACAUCAAGGAAAUGCUAGAUGGUCUCAUGAGUGGAGACAGACCCGACUCAAAUAUUGGCGAGACCCGGUGGAAGACCCGAUCCAUAAUAGCUAAGGACAUUUUAGACAAAAAUUUUUUUGGUAUAUUGUUAUAUUUAAAAAAUAAAU
rnacentral:sRNA from 1 species